rnacentral:rRNA from 1 species
UAGCAAUCAGCGGAGGAAGCUUCUCAAUGAGCGGAGGAAGUUUAACAAACAAAUAAAUCAAAACUUUCAACAACGGAUCUCUUGGUUCUGGCAUCGAUGAAGAACGCAGCAAAAUGCGAUAAGUAAUGUGAAUUGCAGAAUUCAGUGAAUCAUCGAAUCUUUGAACGCACAUUGCGCCCGCUGGUAUUCCGGCGGGCAUGCCUGUUCGAGCGUCAUUUCAACCCUCAAGCCCCCGGGUUUGGUGUUGGGGAUCGGCUCUGCCUCACGGCGGUGCCGCCCCCGAAAUACAUUGGCGGUCUCGCUGCAGCCUCCAUUGCGUAGUAGCUAACACCUCGCAACUGGAACGCGGCGCGGCCAUGCCGUAAAACCCCAACUUCUGAAUGUUGACCUCGGAUCAGGUAGGAAUA